AAAGAUCAAGAUAUCAAGGCAACAUGCUCUAAAAAUAAACCCAACCUGUGUGCCAGUGAAAGCAUACCAGGUCUAAAAACCAGAGGAUCGUCUUUGAAUAAGUCCAGAGCCUGGGUGACGUUCUCAAAGUUGUCUUUGAGAGUCUGGCGACGGCGGCUGCGGUCAGAGGUUUACUGAUGCUGGCGAUUCUCAUCACGGUGUCUGGACCACAAGGCACUCUGUUCUCCAGAUCUGCGUAACCAACCCCUGAGAGACGACAGACACAGCCAGAGGUGACUCUCUGAGCUACUGUACUAACACAGGCCUCGAGAGUAGUGCAGACUACCCAAGAGAAUGGUGUGUGUGGUGAGAGACUUCCUACCUUCACACCAAACAUGACUGCCAUCCACCGAGACGCCGAUAACCAUCCCAGGCGCUCCAACUUCAUCCUGCUGAACAAUAUGCACGUUUCAAUCCAUUCCUGUGCAGGCCUUUAGUGUCCGUCUUCACUGAGAGAUCAAUCAUUCUCUGGUGUCUUGGCAUGUUGUUCUUGGGUCUUUAGAAACUUGACACUUCUUGACAUAAACAUGUAUAUGCUUGUCCUUCUGUGUGAACAUUUAUAAAUUCUUCUUCUCAAGUCUAAACAGUUUUUUUUGUUGUCUUUGGCAUGAUGACAGUACAUUAUUUUACCAGUUGUUUUGAAAGAUACCAAUCUUCAGCUUAUAGUGUAAUUUAAAGGCUUAGAGGAUUAAUUAGGUUAAUUAGGCAAGUUAGGUUAGCUAGUCAAGUCAAUGAACAACAGUGGUUUGUUCUGUAGACAAACAGAUAAUGUCUUAAGAGGGCUAAUAAUAUUGACCUUUGCUAUUGUUUUUUUAUAUAAUUAUUUUAUUCCAGGCAAAUUGAAAUAAGGCUUUCUCCAGAUGAAAAAUAUAA